UACGUAGGGGGCAAGCGUUGUUCGGAAUUAUUGGGCGUAAAGGGCGCGUAGGCGGUCUUGUAAGUCAGCUGUGAAAGCCCGGGGCUUAACCCCGGGUCUGCAUUCGAUACGGGCAGGCUAGAGUGUGGUAGGGGAGAGCGGAAUUCCUGGUGUAGCGGUGAAAUGCGCAGAUAUCAGGAGGAACACCGGUGGCGAAGGCGGAUCUCUGGGCCAUUACUGACGCUGAGGAGCGAAAGCGUGGGGAGCGAACAGG
rnacentral:rRNA from 1 species